GAUGCCACACUUGUGGAUGAAGAUGAUGAUGAACAUAUAAACGGAACUGAUGCUGGGUUAGUGGCUGGAAUUGUGUUUGGAUGUCUUGGCUUUGUCAUUCUAAUCGCUGUGAUUUUUGUGGCAGUACAAAGGAAUAAGAGUGAUAAGCAGCUGGCGGUUAUAACAGAGACAGGGCAUCCAUUACAAGAAAAAAUCGAAAUGUUAUAGAAGAAAGCUUUAACCAGGAGAGCACCAUGUCAUGUGACAUCGACACCCAGCAUUUAUUUUUUUAUGCAGUGUUUUGUUUUAUAUAUUUUUUGUACCUUGUAGACAGGAAUGUAAACGAACUGGAAAGCCAACAAAGCCUAUUUUCUAAUGAACCAGAGUGCACAAAAUGUUAAACUGUGACCUAGGAAUCAUACUUUGGUAUAAAAAUUAAACACAUUGUGGGAGAGCUUUAAAAAGUUCUUAUUUUUUGAGGUUGUGCUAUUUUAUUAGUUAUUGUCUUGUUUACUCUCCAUGUAACCGAUUCAAAAUUGUACAGGCCUGUUGAAGC